rnacentral:rRNA from 1 species
AUUGAACGCUGGCGGCAUGCCUUACACAUGCAAGUCGAACGGCAGCAUGAUCUAGCUUGCUAGAUUGAUGGCGAGUGGCGAACGGGUGAGUAAUACAUCGGAACGUGCCCUGUAGUGGGGGAUAACUAGUCGAAAGAUUAGCUAAUACCGCAUACGACCUGAGGGCGAAAGUGGGGGACCGCAAGGCCUCAUGCUAUAGGAGCGGCCGAUGUCUGAUUAGCUAGUUGGUGAGGUAAAGGCUCACCAAGGCGACGAUCAGUAGCUGGUCUGAGAGGACGAUCAGCCACACUGGGAAUUGGACACGGCCCAGACUCCUACGGGAGGCAGCAGUGGGGAAUUUUGGACAAUGGGGGCAACCCUGAUCCAGCAAUGCCGCGUGUGUGAAGAAGGCCUUCGGGUUGUAAAGCACUUUUGUCCGGAAAGAAAUCGCACUUACUAAUAUUAGGUGUGGAUGACGGUACCGGAAGAAUAAGGACCGGCUAACUACGUGCCAGCCGCCGCAGUAAGAC